rnacentral:rRNA from 1 species
GUGGAUUAGAUACCCUGGUAGUCCACGCCGUAAACGAUGGAUACUAGCUGUUGGGGGCAACUUCAGUGGCUAAGCGAAAGUGAUAAGUAUCCCACCUGGGGAGUACGUUCGCAAGAAUGAAACUCAAAGGAAUUGACGGGGGCCCGCACAAGCGGUGGAGCAUGUGGUUUAAUUCGAUGAUACGCGAGGAACCUUACCAAGGCUUAAAUGUAGUUUGACCGAUUUGGAAACAGAUUUUUCGCAAGACAAAUUACAAGGUGCUGCACGGUUGUCGACAACU